ACAUUGACGAUCCAUUUGAGCUGGCGCCUUCCGAGUUCCGGAAACUAUAUCGUGUGGGCCCAGAUACCGUAAUGGAGCUCGUCGAACGGCUGGAAGACGCCUUGAAAGGUAAAAGGAUUACCUCUAUAUCGGCGGAAAAUCAGGUUUUGUGUACCUUAAGAUUUUAUGCCACGGGAUGCUACCAACGGCCUGUAGGGGUACAGUGGGGCAUAUCAAUGAGCCAAUCCUCUAUAAGCCGUUGCCUACAUCGAGUUACUGAUGCCAUAAAUAGCAGACUGUUUUUUUUGAGGAGGUUAAGUUCCCUAUGACGCAGGUGGACCGCCAAGCUGCCAAGGAAGUGUUUUCUUUAGCACCUGCGCCUUUCGUUGGAGGAACUAUUGGGGCGGUUGACUGUACGCAUGUUUCCAUUUUGGCUCCUAAAAGUCAUGAGGAAGCAUACGUGAACCAUCACGGAUACCACUCGAUUAAUGUGCAAAUGAUAUGUGACCCAAAUUUAAAAAUAUUGAACGAGAAUGCUAAGUUUCCGGGUGCACGGCAUGACUCAUAUAUUUGGAGUUCCUGUCCAGUGCGGCGAGUCAUGCAGAGAGC